rnacentral:rRNA from 1 species
UGUGAGGGUUGCUGGAGGUAUCAGAAGUGCGAAUGCUGACAUAAGUAACGAUAAAGCGGGUGAAAAGCCCGCUCGCCGGAAGACCAAGGGUUCCUGUCCAACGUUAAUCGGGGCAGGGUGAGUCGACCCCUAAGGCGAGGCCGAAAGGCGUAGUCGAUGGGAAACGGGUUAAUAUUCCCGUACUUGGUGUUACUGCGAAGGGGGGACGGAGAAGGCUAUGUUGGCCGGGCGACGGUUGUCCCGGUUUAAGCGUGUAGGCUGGUUUUCCAGGCAAAUCCGGAAAAUCAAGGCUGAGGCGUGAUGACGAGGCACUACGGUGCUGAAGCAACAAAUGCCCUGCUUCCAGGAAAAGCCUCUAAGCAUCAGGUAACAUCAAAUCGUACCCCAAACCGACACAGGUGGUCAGGUAGAGAAUACCAAGGCGCUUGAGAGAACUCGGGUGAAGGAACUAGGCAAAAUGGUGCCGUAACUUCGGGAGAAGGCACGCUGACAC